rnacentral:rRNA from 1 species
AGUGAACGCUGGCGGUAGGCCUAACACAUGCCAGUCGAACGGCAGCACAGUAAGAGCUUGCUCUUACGGGUGGCGAGUGGCGGACGGGUGAGGAAUACAUCGGAAUCUACUUUUUCGUGGGGGAUAACGUAGGGAAACUUACGCUAAUACCGCAUACGCCCUACGGGUGAAAGCAGGGGAUCUUCGGACCUUGCGCUAUUGAAUGAGCCGAUGUCGGAUUAGCUAGUUGGCGGGGUAAAGGCCCACCAAGGCGACGAUCCGUAGCUGGUCUGAGAGGAUGAUCAGCCACACUGGAACUGAGACACGGUCCAGACUCCUACGGGAGGCAGCAGUGGGGAAUAUUGGACAAUGGGCGCAAGCCUGAUCCAGCCAUACCGCGUGGGUGAAGAAGGCCUUCGGGUUGUAAAGCACUUUUGUUGGGAAAGAAAAGCAGCAGGUUAAUACCCCGCUGUUCUGACGGUACCCAAAGAAUAAGCACCGGCUAACUUCGUG